CACGUAGUUAGCCGGGGCUUCUUAGUCAGGUACCGUCAUUUUCUUCCCUGCUGAUAGAGCUUUACAUACCGAAAUACUUCCUCACUCACGCGGCGUCGCUGCAUCAGGGUUUCCCCCAUUGUGCAAUAUUCCCCACUGCUGCCUCCCGUAGGAGUUUGGGCCGUGUCUCAGUCCCAAUGUGGCCGUCCACCCUCUCAGGUCGGCUACGUAUCGUCGCCUUGGUAAGCCGUUACCUUACCAACUAGCUAAUACGGCGCGGGUCCAUCUAUAAGUGAUAGCAAAACCAUCUUUCACUUUAGAACCAUGCGGUUCUAAAUGUUAUCCGGUAUUAGCUCCGGUUUCCCGAAGUUAUCCCAGUCUUAUAGGUAGGUUACCCAGUGUUACUCACCCGUCCGCCGCUAACUUCAAAGGAGCAAGCUCUUAUCUGUUCGCUCGACUUGCAUGUAUUAGGCACGCCGCCAGCGUUCAUCCUGAGCCAGGAUCAAAACUCU
rnacentral:rRNA from 1 species